UACGUAGGGUGCGAGCGUUGUCCGGAAUUACUGGGCGUAAAGAGCUCGUAGGUGGUUUGUCGCGUUGUUCGUGAAAACCGGGGGCUUAACCCUCGGCGUGCGGGCGAUACGGGCAGACUUGAGUACUGCAGGGGAGACUGGAAUUCCUGGUGUAGCGGUGGAAUGCGCAGAUAUCAGGAGGAACACCGGUGGCGAAGGCGGGUCUCUGGGCAGUAACUGAAGCUGAGGAGCGAAAGCGUGGGGAGCGAACAGG
rnacentral:rRNA from 1 species